rnacentral:rRNA from 1 species
GACGAACGCUGGCGGCGUGCCUAAUACAUGCAAGUCGAACGAGAGCGACCGGUGCUUGCACUGGUCAAUCUAGUGGCGAACGGGUGAGUAACACGUGGGUAACCUGCCCAUCAGAGGGGGAUAACAUCCUGAAACGGAUGCUAAAACCGCAUAGGUCUUCGAACCGCAUGGUUUGAAGAGGUAAAGAGGCGCAAGCUUCUGCUGAUGGAUUGACCCGCGGUGCAUUAGCUAGUUGGUGAGGUAACGGCUCACCAAGGCCGUGAUGCAUAGCCGACCAGAGAGGGUGAUCGGCCACAUUGGGACAGAGACACGGCCAAAACUCCUACGGGAGGACGCAGUGGGGAAUCUUCCGAAAUGGAGGCAAGUCUGACGGAGCAACGCCGCGUGAGUGAAGAAGGUUUUCGGAUCGUAAAACUCUGUUGUUAGAGAAGAACAAGUGCUAGAGUAACUGUUAGCGCCUUGACGGUAUCUAACCAGAAAGCCCCGGCUAACUACGUG